rnacentral:rRNA from 1 species
AACGAACGCUGGCGGCGCGCCUAAUACAUGCAAGUCGAGCGAGAAGACGUAGCAAUACGUUUGUAAAGCGGCGAACGGGUGAGGAAUACAUGGGUAACCUACCCUCGAGUGGGGAAUAACUAGCCGAAAGGUUAGCUAAUACCGCGUACGCUCCUUGGACUUCGGUUCAGGGAGGAAAGCGAUACCGUGGGUAUCGCGCUCUUGGAUGGGCUCAUGUCCUAUCAGCUUGUUGGUGAGGAACGGCUCACCAAGGCUUCGACGGGUAGCUGGUCUGAGAGGACGAUCAGCCACACUGGCACUGCGACACGGGCCAGACUCCUACGGGAGGCAGCAGUAAGGAAUAUUGCGCAAUGGGCGAAAGCCUGACGCAGCGACGCCGCGUGGGGGAUGAAGGUCUUCGGAUUGUAAACCCCUUUCGGGAGGGAAGGUGGAACGAGCAAUCGUUCGG